rnacentral:rRNA from 1 species
UACGUAGGGUGCAAGCGUUAAUCGGAAUUACUGGGCGUAAAGCGUGCGCAGGCGGUUGUGCAAGACAGAUGUGAAAUCCCCGGGCUCAACCUGGGAAUUGCAUUUGUGACUGCACGGCUAGAGUGUGUCAGAGGGGUAGAAUUCCACGUGUAGCAGUGAAAUGCGUAGAGAUGUGGAGGAAUACCGAUGGCGAAGGCAGCCCCUGGAUAACACUGACGCUCAUGCACGAAAGCGUGGGAGCAAACAGG